GAUGAACGCUGGCGGCGUGCCUAAUACAUGCAAGUCGAGCGAACGGACGGGAAGCUUGCUUUUCUGAUGUUAGCGGCGGACGGGUGAGUAACACGUGGAUAACCUACCUAUAAGACUGGGAUAACUUCGGGAAACCGGAGCUAAUACCGGAUAAUAUUUUGAACCGCAUGGUUCAAAAGUGAAAGACGGUCUUGCUGUCACUUAUAGAUGGAUCCGCGCUGCAUUAGCUAGUUGGUAAGGUAACGGCUUACCAAGGCAACGAUGCAUAGCCGACCUGAGAGGGUGAUCGGCCACACUGGAACUGAGACACGGUCCAGACUCCUACGGGAGGCAGCAGUAGGGAAUCUUCCGCAAUGGGCGAAAGCCUGACGGAGCAACGCCGCGUGAGUGAUGAAGGUCUUCGGAUCGUAAAACUCUGUUAUUAGGGAAGAACAUAUGUGUAAGCAACUGUGCACAUCUUGACGGUACCUAAUCAGAAAGCCACGGCUAACUACGUG
rnacentral:rRNA from 1 species